rnacentral:rRNA from 1 species
AGCGAACGCUGGCGGUAGGCCUAACACAUGCAAGUCGAACGGCAGCACAGUAAGAGCUUGCUCUUACGGGUGGCGAGUGGCGGACGGGUGAGGAAUACAUCGGAAUCUACUUUUUCGUGGGGGAUAACGUAGGGAAACUUACGCUAAUACCUCAUACGACCUACGGGUGAAAGCAGGGGAUCUUCGUACCUUGCGCGAUUGAAUGAGCCGAUGUCGGAUUAGCUAGUUGGCGGGGUAAAGGCCCACCAAGGCGACGAUCCGUAGCUGGUCUGAGAGGAUGAUCAGCCACACUGGAACUGAAACACGGUCCAGACUCCUACGGGAGGCAGCAGUGGGGAAUAUUGGACAAUGGGCGCAAGCCUGAUCCAGCCAUACCGCGUGGGUGAAGAAGGCCUUCGGGUUGUAAAGCCCUUUUGUUGGGAAAGAAAAGCAGCAGGUUAAUACCCCGCUGUUCUGACGGUACCCAAAGAAUAAGCACCGGCUAACUUCGUG